UACGUAGGGUGCGAGCGUUGUCCGGAAUUAUUGGGCGUAAAGGGCUCGUAGGCGGUUUGUCGCGUCGGGAGUGAAAACCUUGGGCUUAACUCAGGGCUUGCUUUCGAUACGGGCAGACUAGAGGUAUGCAGGGGAGAACGGAAUUCCUGGUGUAGCGGUGAAAUGCGCAGAUAUCUGGAGGAACCCCGGUGGCGAAGGCGGCAUCCUGGACCAACACUGACGCUGAGGAGCGAAAGCCAGGGGAGCAAACGGG
rnacentral:rRNA from 1 species